UUUACAGCCCCCAAGUUUUGGCUAAAUUAAUUAAUUUCCCUAAAAUAAAUCCUUUGUGCUAAUUUAUUAAAUAGAGGUAGAUUUGUGAAAAUUAAUUUGAUGAGAAAAUUGUUUUGACCGAUUCAGAGGUCACGCACACACAAAUUGAAUGCAGUAAUCCAAUUGCAUAAAUACUUUUGGAAUACCAAACAUUUGUAUCGGAUUGUUUCUUAGUUGUCAAUAGCAGCUUAGAAUUUUCGUUUUAAUCGGAAAUGGGUAGGCGCCCGGUUAGAAACAGGGAGGAGUCAGCGUUGACGAGAGGAGUAACUGCUGCGUUUUCGUUCGUUAAAUUUGCAGAGUUCGAGAUUCUGUUCCUUCUUUUCUUCAUUAUCGCUUUCAUCGUCUUCAAAGAUCUCACGUCAAGGCCUGAAUAUAAUCAGAUCCUCGUCAAAAAGCCGGGUGGAAUUGAUUUGUGGCCAUACUAGCUGCAGUCAGCUGCUUGAUAUAUAUAUGGGUUGGAUUGAUGUUUUAUGUAUUAGUUUAGAGUAAUGUCAUGCAUACUCACGGAUCUUAUUAACCAUCUUACUAACCUUUGUUAAAAUUACAUAUGAUACCCGUACUAUGCUUGUGGUAUCUGUACUAUGCUUUAUAUUUACAAAAGGUUAGUACGAUGGUUAAUACACUCGUAAGUACGCAUAGUAUUAUUCAUUAUUUUAAUAGGGAGGGUGGGUAAUUAAUUAAGAAAUUUUUUGUUGCAUGUUUAUAGAACUUUUUUAGUUGUUCCAAAUGUAUUGUGGGUGAACUUCUGAGAACACGAAAAGGGUUUCGAGGUCAUCUUGUAGUGCUUGUGAUUUGGUUUAAUUUUAUUAAUAUGAGGAGUGAAUCAUUUGGGGAGUAUGAUAUCACUAUGUCAAGCAAUUAUUUAUUAUGUAUGUCCCUAUAAUUAGUUAAAGAAAUAUUAUCAAUUACUUGGAUUUA